rnacentral:rRNA from 1 species
GAUGAACGCUGGCGGCGUGCCUAAUACAUGCAAGUCGAGCGAACGGACGAGAAGCUUGCUUCUCUGAUGUUAGCGGCGGACGGGUGAGUAACACGUGGAUAACCUACCUAUAAGACUGGGAUAACUUCGGGAAACCGGAGCUAAUACCGGAUAAUAUUUUGAACCGCAUGGUUCAAAAGUGAAAGACGGUCUUGCUGUCACUUAUAGAUGGAUCCGCGCUGCAUUAGCUAGUUGGUAAGGUAACGGCUUACCAAGGCAACGAUGCAUAGCCGACCUGAGAGGGUGAUCGGCCACACUGGGACUGAGACACGGUCCAGACUCCUACGGGAGGCAGCAGUAGGGAAUCUUCCGCAAUGGGCGAAAGCCUGACGGAGCAACGCCGCGUGAGUGAUGAAGGUCUUCGGACCGUAAAACUCUGUUAUUAGGGAAGAACAUAUGUGUAAGUAACUGUGCACAUCUUGACGGUACCUAAUCAGAAAGCCACGGCUAACUACGUG